UACAGAGGUCUCAAGCGUUGUUCGGAUUCAUUGGGCGUAAAGGGUGCGUAGGCGGCGCGGUAAGUCGGGUGUGAAAUCUUGGAGCUUAACUCCGAAACUGCAUUCGAUACUGCCGUGCUUGAGGACUGGAGAGGAGACUGGAAUUUACGGUGUAGCGGUGAAAUGCGUAGAGAUCCGGAGGAACGCCGGUGGCGAAAGCGGCCCUCUGGCUCGACCCUGACGCUGAGGCGCGAAAGCGUGGGGAGCGAACGGG
rnacentral:rRNA from 1 species